rnacentral:rRNA from 1 species
ACUCAAAUGAAUAGACGGGGACCCGCACAAGCGGUGGAGCAUGUGGUUUAAUUCGAAGCAACGCGAAGAACCUUACCAAGGCUUGACAUGGAGAUGACCGGCAUAGAGAUAUGCCUUCCCUACGGGGCAUCUCACACAGGUGGUGCAUGGUUGUCGUCAGCUCGUGUCGUGAGAUGUUGGGUUAAGUCCCGCAACGAGCGCAACCCUUAUGUUUAGUAGCCAGCGGGUAAAGCCGGGUACACUAGAGAGACCGCCGUGGAUAACACGGAGGAAGGUGGGGACGACGUCAAAUCAUCAUGCCCCUUAUGUCUUGGGCUACACACGUGCUACAAUGGCUGAUACAAAGUGAUGCGAACCCGCGAGGGUAAGCCAACCACAAAAAAACAGCCCCAGUUCGGAUUGUAGGCUGCAACCCGCCUGCAUGAAGUUGGAAUCGCUAGUAAUCGCGAAUCAGCAUGUCGCGGUGAAUACGUUCCCGGGUCUUGCACACACCGCCCGU